AUGCAGUCGAACGGUGACACGGAGCUUGCUCUGUGGGAUCAGUGGCGAACGGGUGAGUAACACGUGAGCAACCUGCCCCUGACUCUGGGAUAAGCGCUGGAAACGGCGUCUAAUACUGGAUAUGUGACGUGAUCGCAUGGUCUGCGUCUGGAAAGAAUUUCGGUUGGGGAUGGGCUCGCGGCCUAUCAGCUUGUUGGUGAGGUAAUGGCUCACCAAGGCGUCGACGGGUAGCCGGCCUGAGAGGGUGACCGGCCACACUGGGACUGAGACACGGCCCAGACUCCUACGGGAGGCAGCAGUGGGGAAUAUUGCACAAUGGGCGCAAGCCUGAUGCAGCAACGCCGCGUGAGGGACGACGGCCUUCGGGUUGUAAACCUCUUUUAGCAGGGAAGAAGCGAAAGUGACGGUACCUGCAGAAAAAGCGCCGGCUAACUACGUGCCAGCAGCCGCGGUAAUACGUAGGGCGCAAGCGUUAUCCGGAAUUAUUGGGCGUAAAGAGCUCGUAGGCGGUUUGUCGCGUCUGCUGUGAAAUCCGGAGGCUCAACCUCCGGCCUGCAGUGGGUACGGGCAGACUAGAGUGCG
rnacentral:rRNA from 1 species